CUACAAUGGCGUAAACAAAGGGAAGCGAAGGCGUGAGCGUAAGCAAAACCCAAAAAUAACGUCCCAGUUCGGAUUGUAGUCUGCAACCCGACUCCGUGAAGCUGGAUUCGCUAGUAAUCGCGCAUCAGCCAUGGCGCGGUGAAUACGUUCCCGGGCCUUGUACACACCGCCCGUCAAGCCAUGGAAGCCGGGGGCGCUUGAAGUGCGUUGCCGCAAGGCGCGCCCUAGAGCGAAACCGGUGACUGGGGCUAAGUCGUAACAAGGUACC
rnacentral:rRNA from 1 species